rnacentral:tRNA from 1 species
GCCGGGAUGGUGAAAUUGGUAAACACGCAGGACUUAAAAUCCUGUGGCCGUAAGGCCUUACGGGUUCGAUUCCCGUUCCCGGUA